GGAGGUAAAAGUCGUAACAAGGUUUCCGUAGGUGAACCUGCGGAAGGAUCAUUAUUGUAUAACCGAGGUGCGAGAGCUGUCGCUGACCCGAAAGGUCGUGCACGCCCGAGUGCCCUCACACACAUCCAUCUCACCCCUAUGUGCACCACCGCGUGGGUCCCCCUUUGGCUUGUUCGGAGGGGGGCUUACGUUUUCACACAAACUUUGUAUGCAGUGUAGAAUGUAUUUUUUGUUUUUGCGAUCACGCAAUCAAUACAACUUUCAACAACGGAUCUCUUGGCUCUC
rnacentral:misc_RNA from 1 species